ensembl:snRNA LOC120099523 U2 spliceosomal RNA
AUCGCUUCUCGGCCUUUUGGCUAAGAUCAAGUGUAGAAGCCCUGACUAAGACAAGCAUCUCUUUUAAGGUACAUUUGGCUGUUCCUAUAACUACUUGUCCUAUGGGAUGCGGUAUACCAGCAACAUGUUUUAUAUUGUAAUGUGUGAAGAAUUGUUGCAUCUUAU